GACGAACCGUGCGACCGUUAUUCGGAAUCACUGGGCUUAAAGCGCGUGUAGGCGGGACGGCACGUCCGUCGCUGAAAUCCCCCGGCUCAACCGGGGAACUGGCGGGGAUACGACCGUCCUGGAGGGACGUAGGGGGACCUGGAACUUCCGGUGGAGCGGUGAAAUGCGUUGAGAUCGGAAGGAACGCCCGUGGCGAAAGCGAGGUCCUGGACGUUUUCUGACGCUGAGACGCGAAAGCCAGGGGAGCGAACGGG
rnacentral:rRNA from 1 species